UACAGAGACCUCAAGCGUUAUCCGGAAUCAUUGGGCGUAAAGCGUACCGAUAGGUGGUUUGGUUAGUCUUGGGUGAAAUCCUGAAGCUCAACUUCAGGUUUGCUCAAGAAACGGCCAGACUAGAGGGGCAAAGAGGAGACUGGAACGAACGGUGUAGUAGUGAAAUGCGUUGAUAUCGUUCGGAACACCGAAAGCGAAGGCAGGUCGUCUGGGAUGCCCACCGCUCGUACGAACUCGCGUACGG
rnacentral:rRNA from 1 species